UACGUAGGGGGCAGGCGUUGUCCGGAAUCAUUGGGCGUAAAGAGCGUGUAGGCGGCCAGAUAAGUCCGCUGUGAAAUCUCGAGGCUCAACUUCGAGCUGUCGGUGGAAACUGUCUGGCUAGAGUCCGGAAGAGGAGAAUGGAAUUCCUGGUGUAGCGGUGAAAUGCGCAGAUAUCAGGAGGAACACCGGUGGCGAAGGCGGGUCUCUGGGCAGUAACUGACGCUGAGGAGCGAAAGCGUGGGGAGCGAACAGG
rnacentral:rRNA from 1 species